GCUGAUGUAGCUCAGUGGUAGAGCACUUUCCUGGCAUGUACAAGGCCCUGGGGUCAAUCAUCAGCAUCACA
rnacentral:tRNA from 1 species